rnacentral:rRNA from 1 species
ACGGAGGGUGCAAGCGUUAAUCGGAAUUACUGGGCGUAAAGCGCACGCAGGCGGUUUGUUAAGUCAGAUGUGAAAUCCCCGGGCUCAACCUUGGAACUGCAUCGGAUACUGGCAAGCUUGAGUCUCGUAGAGGGGGGUAGAAUUCCAGGUGUAGCGGUGAAAUGCGUAGAGAUCUGGAGGAAUACCGGUGGCGAAGGCGAUCUCCUGGACGAUUACUGACGCUGAGGUGCGAAAGCGUGGGGAGCAAACAG